ACCAGCUAUGGAUUCCAAGGGCUGGUAGACAUGCAGCUGCAGUCUUGCUCCCCACAUCAGCCUGGGUGAAUCCACGAUUCUGGAGGCUACACUGGGGACAAAGGAGGAAGAACUGCAUGUUCCAUGGCAUUACAGCCCUCACGAGGACCAGAGGAUGCUGAAGCUGCAUGCCCACAAGUUUUCCCAGGUCAAGUUUUCUGAUUUAUUUCCCCAUUCAAGAUUCUGUGCUU